rnacentral:pre_miRNA from 1 species
UUCUGUGUAUGGCACUGGUAGAAUUCACUGUGAACGGUCUCGGUCAGUGAAUUACCGAAGGGCCAUAAACAGAG